UACGUAGGGUGCAAGCGUUAAUCGGAAUUACUGGGCGUAAAGCGUGCGCAGGCGGUUCCGCAAGUCAGAUGUGAAAUCCCCGGGCUCAACCUGGGAACUGCAUUUGAAACUACGGGGCUAGAGUGUGCCAGAGGGGGGUGGAAUUCCACGUGUAGCAGUGAAAUGCGUAGAGAUGUGGAGGAACACCAAUGGCGAAGGCAGCCCCCUGGGAUGACACUGACGCUCAUGCACGAAAGCGUGGGGAGCAAACAGG
rnacentral:rRNA from 1 species